rnacentral:rRNA from 1 species
GAUGAACGCUAGCUACAGGCUUAACACAUGCAAGUCGAGGGGAAACGACAUCGAAAGCUUGCUUUUGGUGGGCGUCGACCGGCGCACGGGUGAGUAACGCGUAUCCAACCUGCCCACCACUUGGGAAUAACCUUGCGAAAGUAAGACUAAUACCCAAUGAUAUCCCAUGAAGGCAUCCGAAUGGGAUUAAAGAUUUAUCGGUGAUGGAUGGGGAUGCGUCUGAUUAGCUUGUUGGCGGGGUAACGGCCCACCAAGGCAACGAUCAGUAGGGGUUCUGAGAGGAAGGUCCCCCACAUUGGAACUGAGACACGGUCCAAAACUCCUACGGGAGGCAGCAGUGAGGAAUA